UUUUUAGCUUCUACACCAAAAUUUAAUUUUAAUCCAACAUCGARGUCGCAAUCCUUCUUUUCGAUAUGAACUCUCAAAAAAGAUUACGCUGUUUUCCCUAARGUAAUUUACUCUUUUAAUCUUAAACUAARGAUCAAUUACCCACAAAUAAAUGUAAUAUUAAAAAAAAAGUUAAUCCAAUUUUUCAAUCACCCCAACUAAAUUAAUAUUUUUAUAAAAAAAAAUUAAUACCAAUAAUUCUUAUAAAUCUACUAAUAAAACUCUAUAGGGUCUUCUCGUCUUUUAUUAAAAUUUAAGCUUUUUAACUUAAAAAUAAAAUUCUAAUAAAUUUAAAUAGAGACAGUUAUUUUCUCAUCUAACCUUUCAUUCCAGCUUUCAAUUAAAAAACUAAUGAUUAUGCUACCUUUGCACGGUCAAUAUACCGCGGCCAUUUAAAUCCUCAUUGGGCAGGCCARACCUUAAAUUAUAUUCAAAAA
rnacentral:rRNA from 1 species